rnacentral:SRP_RNA from 1 species
GGCAGGUGCGAAGGUGCGUGCCUGUAGUCCCAGCUACUAGGAGGCUGAGGUGGGAGGAUCGCUUGAGCCCAGGAGUUCUGAGCUGUAUGUGCUAUGCCUAUCGGGUGUCCGCACUAAGUUUGGCAUCAAUAUGAUAACCACCCGAGAGUGGGGAACCACCAGGUUGCCUAAGGAGUGGUGAACUGGCCCAGGUCGGAAACGGAGCAGGUCAAAACUCCUGUGCUGAUCAGUAAUGGGAUCACACCUGUGAAGAGCCACUGCACUCCAGCCUGGGCAACAUAGUGAGACCCCAUCUCU